rnacentral:sRNA from 1 species
GCAUAAUGCACUCCGGGGGGGUGAGAAGCCCCGACCGGGGUUCGACAACUGGCGCAGCCAGUUGGACAGACCACGAACGCAGUGAGUGGGCUGCCCGCAGGGCGAGCGAAGCGAGUCAAUCCCCCCUCACCGCCA